GUUGUUCAAUACUUUAUAUUUACAGAGUGUGAAAUAGAAAUGCCCAAACAUGGAUACUUACCCAAAAUAUUGUCAAAGGAAUAUGGAAAUAGAAAAUAGCACCAUUUUUGAAAAACUUUGAGCUGAUUAUUCUAAAGAUUGAGAUUAACAAUACUGUAAUCUUCACUAAAGAUAAAGGCACAAAGCCUGAAAUUUGGUGGAAGAGAGCCAGUCAAUUAGAUCAACCCAGUAUGCAACUGGUACUUAAUUUAUCAACCCUGAAAGGAUGAAAGGCAAAGUUGACCUCAGCGGAAUUUGAACUCAGAAAGCAAAGCAUUUCGCCUGACGUGCUAACAAUUCUGCCAGCUCACCACCUUUACUUUUUUUUUUAAAUAAAAAAUAUAAUAAAAUUUGUCAUAAUUUUUGCUGAAAUCAUAACUGUGGAUCACUAGAUGCAAGACAAAGGGAAAAAUGCACAUACACACUGAUACACACACACAUCAUCAUCACCAUUUUAUGUCUGUUUUCCAUGCUGGUACGGGUUGGAUGGUUUGACUGAAACUGGCAAGUUGAAGGAUUGCACCAGGCUCUGUUGGCUGUUCUGGUAUGGUUUCUAUGGCUGGAUGCCCUUCCUAAUGCCAACUACUUUACAGAAUGUACUGUGUGCUUUUUUGUGGCACCAACACCAGUGGUUUUAAUGUGGCACAUAUGUAUAUAUUUAUGUAUUUGUUAUCAAUGGAUGGACAAAUUAAACAUUUUAUGCCUUUAUGUGGUGUUUCGGUUUGGUUUGGAAUGGAUUACCUUAAGUUAUAUGUACUUCAAUUGUAAAAUUUGAUUAAUGAACAGUGCUCUGAAAUAGAUUAUGCUCAUACAUGGAGAUCCCACUGUAUUUUAUUCAAUCCUGUGAUAGCAGAUAGACUGACAAGAGAGCUGGACAUAUCUUCCUCAGUUGAAAAUUAACCAUUUAGAAUUCAGCAGAGAAUCAUACUGCAAGACAGAAACCAGUAGUACCAUAAGAUUUACCAGAGAGAUAUUCUAAGCUCAAAUUUUUAUUUGGCCACUCAGUUUAGUUUACCUUGAAAUUUAUGAUAUGUCUAUAAAUUCAAAUAAAUAUUAAUGAAUUAAUGAAAAAAUGUUAGAAGGAAACCUAAAUUAUUUUUUCCUGCUAAUCAAUUUAUCAAAAACAAAAAGUAGUUAAAAAGCAAAAGAAAUUGAAUGAACCAACAGUUUGGUAAUGGAACUAUACUCUUGGGAAAUUCUGAAAUUGUAUUCUUUUGAUAUAAAUGGAAGUCUUUUGGACAAAUUCAUGAGAACCAA